GACGAACGCUGGCGGCGUGCUUAAUACAUGCAAGUGGAGCGACGAACCAGGCUUCGGCCUGGGGCAGAGCCGCGAACGGGUGAGUAACACGUGGGUAACCUGCCUCGAUGACCGGGACAACCCGGGGAAACCCGGGCUAAUACCGGAUGUGCUGUCCCCACAUCAGUGGAGACAGGAAAGGAAGCUUCGGCCUCCGCAUCGAGAUGGGCCCGCGGCCCAUUAGCUUGUUGGUGUGGAACGGCUCACCAAGGCUGCGAUGGGUAGCUGGUCUGAGAGGACGAUCAGCCACACUGGGACUGAGACACGGCCCAGACUCCUACGGGAGGCAGCAGUAGGGAAUCUUGCGCAAUGCGCGAAAGCGUGACGCAGCAACGCCGCGUGGGGGAAGAAGGCCUUCGG
rnacentral:rRNA from 1 species